rnacentral:sRNA from 1 species
UUAACAAGCUCCCAAGGACAAAGGCCCGUGUUGGCCGAGCUUUAAAAAGCUACUUGGAAAGUUGACC